CCUGGGAUGUCUUCUUUAAGAAAUGGUAUGGCUUUAUGGGGUAUUUGGAUUAUAUAGCCUGGUAAAAUACUCUAAAAUGGGACAUAGGCACAGCAUAAAAAUUCAAAGUUUGAAAAAAACCUGGAAUGGCUGUGUCCCAAAUGUGCCCCUCUGAUGUCCACACAUACCUGGCAAAAGUACAUACGGGGGUAUGGCUGUACUCAGCCGACAUAGCUGAGCAACAUAUGAAGCAUUAUACAGUCGUAGCACACAUAAGGUUUGCAAAAUAUACUGUGCAAACUCACUUUGUAUGUCAAAAAGGCAGAAAAAAAACGCUUAUUACCACUACAUCUGGUACAAGCUAGCGGAAAAAUGAU